rnacentral:rRNA from 1 species
GGUGAACGCUGGCGGUAGGCCUAACACAUGCAAGUCGAACGGCAGCACAGUAAGAGCUUGCUCUUACGGGUGGCGAGUGGCGGACGGGUGAGGAAUACAUCGGAAUCUACUUUUUCGUGGGGGAUAACGUAGGGAAACUUACGCUAAUACCGCAUACGACCUACGGGUGAAAGCAGGGGAUCUUCGUACCUUGCGCGAUUGAAUGAGCCGAUGUCGGAUUAGCUAGUUGGCGGGGUAAAGGCCCACCAAGGCGACGAUCCGUAGCUGGUCUGAGAGGAUGAUCAGCCACACUGGAACUGAGACACGGUCCAGACUCCUACGGGAGGCAGCAGUGGGGAAUAUUGGACAAUGGGCGCAAGCCUGAUCCAGCCAUACCGCGUGGGUGAAGAAGGCCUUCGGGUUGUAAAGCCCUUUUGUUGGGAAAGAAAAGCAGCAGGUUAAUACCCCGCUGUUCUGACGGUACCCAAAGAAUAAGCACCGGCUAACUUCGUG